rnacentral:rRNA from 1 species
AUCCUGGCUCAGGAUGAACGCUGGCGGCGUGCCUAAUACAUGCAAGUCGAGCGGUAAGGCUCUCACUCUGUAUUUAAUGAGUUGAAUAUAGUGUGAAAGUACACGAGCGGCGGACGGCUGAGUAACGCGUAGGAACGUACCCCAAAGUGAGGGAUAAGCACCGGAAACGGUGUCUAAUACCGCAUGUGAUCUUCGGAUUAAAGCUUUAUGCGCUUUGGGAGCGGCCUGCGUAAGAUUAGUUUGUUGGUGAGGUAAUGGCUCACCAAGACUACGAUCUUUAGCUGGUCUGAGAGGAUGAUCAGCCAGACUGGGACUGAGACACGGCCCAGACUCCUACGGGAGGCAGCAGUAGGGAAUUUCCACAAUGGACGAAAGUCUGAUGGAGCAACGCCGCGUGCAGGAUGAAGGCCUUCGGGUUGUAAACUGCUUUUAUCUGUGACGAUUAUGACGGUAGCAGAUGAAUAAGGAUCGGCUAACUCCGUG